rnacentral:lncRNA from 1 species
UUGGCUCACAGCGGCCCCAGCAACAUCUAGCUGAUUGGCUCCUCUGCGGUGAUGCUCAUUGGGCUGUUUCCCUGCCCUUUCAGACCACGGAGCUGCUCAUUGGGGGACUUUUUUGGCUCCGCCCAUGUGACCCAGCCAAUCGGCCUCAAGAGCAGGAGGAUUGUGGGAGGGGGAGAGAAGCUUGUGUGGGAGAGAGAGGCUUGUGGAAAGUCAGUGGUGGCAGUUGAGGCUCUGAGGGUUUUUCCUGAGAGGCUGUUUUGUUUGGCGUGUGUGGUUCUAAAAAUAAAGUUAGUUUCUUUUGACAAGUGGCUCCUGAUUGUACCCAGCCAGACUGCGGCAUCUCUCUCUCUCCCUCUCUCUUUAAAAAAAAAAUAAAAUAAAUGGAAAAGCUCAAAGCAGAGCAAAAUUAGAGUGAGUCAAAGUAUAAGAAUAAAAUUUAUAACAUAAAGCCUUCAGCCAGGGCAUCACUGGGCCAUUUUAACUAUUGUGUACAAAGUGGCUUUAUUUUUUAGUUUAUUUCAAUCAUCCUGCACCAAACAGUGUUAUGAGUACAUGCUCAGGUUGUUUAGCAAGGAGUUCAUUUUUCUGGUGACACAUGAUCACAGAUCUAGUGAGCAUUACUGCCAUGAUGCAAAUAUAGAAAUACAGAGAAAGAUAGAAUUUAGCUCAGCUUGGCUUGGCUGGAAUCUGGUGCUCUGCCUUUAUCUGGACAAAUGGAUAUGGGCUGAGAAGGUUCUGGCAGCCUGGCUGAGAUGGCCAAGAAAGACUGAUGCACAUGGACCACUUUUAAUUUCCUUCCACAGGCUUUGAGAGCGGUGUGUGAAAGACAGAUAUAUUGCUGGAGAUAAUAUUUUAAUUCAAAAUUUCAGCCCUCUGGGUUGGUGGCUUUCUGCAAAGGGACCUUUCUUAAGAUCCUCAGAGUUUGAAUUGACUAGCUCCUGAGAUUCGUGAACUGGGCCAGUCAAUCCCGAGGUGGACAGAGAAGAUUCGGACUGUUUCUAAUGGAUCUGUCUGGGUUCCUUAUAGGUUGGCUUAUGGCAGGAGGGUCAGCCUCUAAUCCAGCCUGGUUUGCUCAAGUUUGUACUGUGAGUUUGGAGACU